GGGAGGAAUAUUGGGCAAUGGACGGAAGUCUGACCCAGCAACGCCGCGUGAAGGACGAAGGCCUUCGGGUCGUAAACUUCUUUUGAGGGAGACGAGGAAGGACGGUAUCCCUCGAAUAAGCCACGGCUAACUACGUGCCAGCAGCCGCGGUAAAACGUAGGUGGCGAGCGUUAUCCGGAUUCAUUGGGCGUAAAGAGCUUGUAGGUGGUGCGAUAAGUUGGACGUGAAAACUCCGGGCUUAACUUGGAGAGGCCGUUCAAUACUGUCAUGCUAGAGGGCGUCAGAGGGAAGUGGAAUUCCUGGUGUAGCAGUGAAAUGCGUAGAUAUCAGGAGGAACAUCCGUGGCGAAGGCGGCUUCCUGGGGCGCACCUGACACUGAGAAGCGAAAGCUAGGGGAGCAAACG
rnacentral:rRNA from 1 species